rnacentral:rRNA from 1 species
AUUGAACGCUGGCGGCAGGCCUAACACAUGCAAGUCGAGCAGAUGAAGGGAGCUUGCUCCUGGAUUCAGCGGCGGACGGGUGAGUAAUGCCUAGGAAUCUGCCUGGUAGUGGGGGAUAACGUCCGGAAACGGGCGCUAAUACCGCAUACGUCCUGAGGGAGAAAGUGGGGGAUCUUCGGACCUCACGCUAUCAGAUGAGCCUAGGUCGGAUUAGCUAGUUGGUGGGGUAAAGGCCUACCAAGGCGACGAUCCGUAACUGGUCUGAGAGGAUGAUCAGUCACACUGGAACUGAGACACGGUCAAGACUCCUACGGGAGGCAGCAGUGGGGAAUAUUGGACAAUGGGCGAAAGCCUGAUCCAGCCAUGCCGCGUGUGUGAAGAAGGUCUUCGGAUUGUAAAGCACUUUAAGUUGGGAGGAAGGGCAGUAAGUUAAUACCUUGCUGUUUUGACGUUACCAACAGAAUAAGCACCGGCUAACUUCGUG